GAGGGUUGGUGAGUUCACAGAGAAACUCUUGGGAAGGAAGACCUGAGAAGUGAGCUAUCGCCUAAAAGGCUAUGGGGAAGCUAGGGGGUCCUGAUAACACAACAGAACAACUGGGUAUGUUCUGUCAGGCUGUCCUGUGGGCAAGGAGAUUGGAAUUUACCCUAUCUGUGAUUACUAUGUAGCCCACUGCUCCCUAGAAGUGUAUCCGGUAAACCUACAGGGGCUGGGGAGACAGCUCCGUUAGUAAAGUGCUUUCUAGGUCACCAUGAGCUGAAUUUAAUCCCCAGCACCUAAUGUAGAAAAGCCAAGCAUGGUGAGCCCUUCCUCUCAGUGCUGGGGAGGCAGAGACACAAGGAGCCCAGGAGUUCACACACAAAUUGAACUGACCUAACUAGUGGGCCCUAGACUAAAACCCUGUUUCAAAACAACUCCUAAGGAUGAUAUCCAAAGUAAUCAAGCCUCUGCCCUCUACAUGCAUAUGUACGUAUCUGUAUUCCCCGUACGAAUACACAGGAUUACAAAGGGCCAAGAGAUGACUGAGUGAUCAUGUUCACUGUGAUGGAGCUUGCUCUAGACUGUUGUAAGCAGCAGUGAGCAUGCCAGGGUCGGUGGGCAUCCUGGGCCAUGACGCUCAGUGGGUUGCUGAGUUGUGGUAGGUGACCAUAGAAGCUGGAGCGGUGAGGCAGUCAGUGCUGGAGUGCGUUCUCACAAGUUCCUCACACUGACAUCCAUUCUGGACUGAAGAAGCUGUGGCUUCUCGUGGGAUUGCUCUAGUUGAACAUGCCCUCAAGCAGUUUUAUUUCCUUUUUCUUUGAAGGCUGGGUUUCUCUUUAUAGCCCUGGCUGUCCUAGAACUCACUCUGUCUCCUGAGUGCUGGGAUUAAAGGCAUGUGCCACCAUUGCCCAGUGAAGUGUGGUCUUU
rnacentral:lncRNA from 1 species